UGGGGCGUAGCCAAGUGGUAAGGCAGCGGUUUUUGGUACCGCCAUUCCCUGGUUCGAAUCCAGGCGCCCCAGCCA
rnacentral:tRNA from 14 species